rnacentral:lncRNA from 1 species
CCUCAUCCUUUUGCUAAUCAUGUCUUGACAUAUAUCUGAAGCCCAGAGGGAGAAAGGGACAGGCACCGAGGACAGAAGGGCUGGACAGAACUGGAAGGAGCUCAGGACAGUGACGGAAGUGAAGACACCCAGGCUGUCAAGGUUCAAUAUAACAUCAGUGGGACAAGCUGCAAGAUAAACAGAUGGAAGAGAAACAGGAA